UACGUAGGGCGCAAGCGUUGUCCGGAAUUAUUGGGCGUAAAGAGCUCGUAGGCGGUUUGUCGCGUCUGCUGUGAAAACCCGAGGCUCAACCUCGGGCCUGCAGUGGGUACGGGCAGACUAGAGUGUGGUAGGGGAGACUGGAAUUCCUGGUGUAGCGGUGAAAUGCGCAGAUAUCAGGAGGAACACCGGUGGCGAAGGCGGUUCUCUGGGCAUUUACUGACGCUGAGGAGCGAAAGCGUGGGGAGCGAACAGG
rnacentral:rRNA from 1 species